CAGCGCGCGCCGCCCGUGGGAGCCCCUUGGCCGUGGAGAAGCACAGCCUCGUCCGCCUCCGCUAGCGUAGCCUCCGUGCCGGGCCGCCUCAGCCCGGGGCAGGAGCGCUGAGGCAAGGCUGAGUGCUCAGUCCCGGAGGGCUCGGCGCUGUGAGGCGGACGGGCUGCGGGGCGCCCUCAUCACCUGCAACACGGACGAGCGCGGGUGCGGGGAGGAGGCCGACAGCCUGGUCCACUGAUGGAGAAUACGGCAGCGGCACCUAGGGCCCGGAAGGGUACCGGUAGGCACGGGAUCAAACUCGGGACCUUGCACUUGUGAGGCAGGUGUCAGAACCACUGAGCUAAAUCCCCGGCCCAGAUCUCAGGAUGCACUUGGGUGUCCAGGGGAUAACUGUAAGAAAGAAAAAAAGUCCCGCUCAACAACAUUAGGAAGGCACCCAGGACUGCCACUAGCACAGCACUGCCCAUUUCCUGCGUGCUGGGCUGGAAGGGCAUGUGGAAGGACAGAGGAAAGUAGAUCUCUGCCUUGUCCGCCACGGAAUAGCAGUUCCAGAAGGCAGCCACGGAGACGCAGCCACAGGCGGCCAGGGCAUUCUAGUUACCAUUGGUUAGCCAUGUGACCAAAGGGAAGAUGUUUGUCACAUAGCAAGACGAGCAGUAUGUCACAAAACAUGCACUGAUUGGCGAAUCCCAGGACUGAGAUCCAAGCGCCUGCACGCAGUGCAGAACUGAACAGAACUGUUCCGGACAGAGGGAGCAAGGAGCUCUGAGGCCGUUACUGUGAGGAGCGAGAGAUUGAGGCGUGGUCGGAGCGCACAGGCCCAGCAGGAAACCCUCAACAUGCUGCAGUACGAAAAUCCUCCCUGUGUAGAAGGUGGGAAAGGAGCACAGAAGAACGUGGCUGCCGUGGUGUUUCGCGCCUGUGAUCCCAGCACUCCGGGAGGCUGAGGCAGGAGGAUGGCAAGGAUGAGCCAAGCCUGGGCGAUUUAUCAAGACCCUGUCUCUCAAAGAAUGACUAAGUAACAGCACUGGGGAUGUAAUUCAGUGUGAGGCCCUGGGUUCUGCUCCCCAGCAUUGCGAGACAAAAAGGACAAAUGUGAAUGUAGUCAUGUACGUCCUUAUGCGUGGAAUUUAUGAUCUGAGUUUUGCUUCCAACAGAUGUAAGUACACAUCACUAGGCUGCUUCCAAAGAUCCCCUCUGGUAAACACUUAUUUUGCAUUCUUUUUUAUAUCUUCCAGCAGUGAAGAUACGUCCCAUGAAAAAACGCCUGGUCUCUGAGAGGAACAUAUACUUUUUAGAGCUUUCUGUCCCGGUACCCAUGCCUGUCGGGAGGGGACAGGUUGGGGUCACACUGAGGUAAACAUUUGCUGAUGGUAAAGACUGUGAAACCAGUCAGGUUAUUGGGGGAAAGAAGGUGGAAAUAACUGUGGGUGGGAGAAAAAAACAAACACAAAGCAAAACCCAAAAAAAGCUCCCCCCCCCAGUAUAGGGGAUUGAACCCAGAAUCUUUGCCUGAGUUCAUUAUCAGCACGCCCCAUCCUUUUAUUUUGACACAGGGUUUUUGCUAAAUUACUAAAUUGCCAGGUUGGGCUUGGACUUGAAAUCCUCCUGCCUCAGCCUCCCAGAGUGCUGAGAUCAAAGACCUGCCUUACGGUGCCUGGCUUGAGGCUCCUGAUAAAGCCAGGGACCUGGUUGCCAGGAGGUUGGGGCAAGAAAGGGCGAGUUUGGGACCCACCUGGGUAACUUACCAAGACUCUGUCAAAAUACAAAAGGGCUGGGGAUGUCGCUCAGUGGAGCAGCCCUUGCCUGGCCUGUGUGAGGCCCUUUGAUCAGCCCCAGAACUGCAGAAGACAGACAGACUGACAGACAGAAGACUUUCUCAACAACUGGGUAGCUUGUAUGCUUUAACACUCACAGGACCUGCCGCCUCUCUUGUGGACCAGACUCCUUGGUGACAGUUGAGUCUCGUUCCCGGCCAGUGAUGGGCGGGGGAGGGGUGGGGAGCCAUUCAGCAGGACCGGUCAGGGCCAGCCACUGCUCUGCGCCUUCCUCUCUGUGGACACAUGGGGCCAGAAGGAAAUAAGUCUGUCACAGUCAGGCAGGGCAUGCAAGGCUCCUACUGCAUUAUAACCCAGUUACCCUAGCUGAGGCAUGAACAGGACCAUGCCGUCAGGCACGGCAGGGAGCAGGACCGAGGUCAGAAGUGGACACAAGAGUAAAUGUCAAAGUAUUUACCCUCACCCAGGACAGUGCACUCCGAUAUAUCCUCCCUUACUGUAGUUCAUUAACACACACACACUUACACGCACGCGCUUACACACAUGCACACACACAAGCUAGUUGAGGCCCAUUAACCACUGGUUCUUAAAGUCUGGAGUCCAGAGGUUCCAUCUCAGGGGGGGUCUGAAAGGUCAGAACCAUUUUCAAAAUAAUAUGAAGAUGUUAACUUGUUUUUCGUUUUUUUAUCUUUGUUCUGUCAUGAAUGUGCCAUGGAGUUUUCCAGAGGCUCUGGAUAUGUGGAAAUGUAACAGUAAAUGCAGAGGCAGGCAUGAGAGCCCAACAGUCUCCAUGAAGCCAGACCUGAAAGGGAUUUGCAAAAAUGUAAAACACUUUGUCUCACUUUUUGUUGUUGUUGUUUUGGAAAAUACAGCAAAUUUUCUUUGUUU